UACGUAGGGUGCAAGCGUUGUCCGGAUUCACUGGGCGUAAAGCGCACGUAGGCGGACUCUUAAGUCGGUGGUGAAAUCCUGGAGCUCAACUCCAGAACUGCCUUCGAUACUGAGAGUCUUGAGUCCGGGAGAGGUGAGUGGAACUGCGAGUGUAGAGGUGAAAUUCGUAGAUAUUCGCAAGAACACCAGUGGCGAAGGCGGCUCACUGGCCCGGUACUGACGCUGAGGUGCGAAAGCCAGGGGAGCAAACGGG
rnacentral:rRNA from 1 species